rnacentral:rRNA from 1 species
CCAGAGAACUUAGCAGAGAUGCUUUGGUGCCUUCGGGAACUCUGAGACAGGUGCUGCAUGGCUGUCGUCAGCUCGUGUUGUGAAAUGUUGGGUUAAGUCCCGCAACGAGCGCAACCCUUAUCCUUUGUUGCCAGCGGCUCGGCCGGGAACUCAAAGGAGACUGCCGGUGAUAAACCGGAGGAAGGUGGGGAUGACGUCAAGUCAUCAUGGCCCUUACGGCCAGGGCUACACACGUGCUACAAUGGCGCAUACAAAGAGAAGCGACCUCGCGAGAGCAAGCGGACCUCAUAAAGUGCGUCGUAGUCCGGAUUGGAGUCUGCAACUCGACUCCAUGAAGUCGGAAUCGCUAGUAAUCGUAGAUCAGAAUGCUACGGUGAAUACGUUCCCGGGCCUUGUACACACCGCCCGUCACACCAUGGGAGUGGGUUGCAAAGGAAGUAGGUAGCUUAACCUUCGGGAGGGCGCUUACCACUUUGUGAUUCAUGACUGGGGUGAAGUCGUAACAAGGUAAGCGUAGCGAG